CUGUCACAUAUAGGAUCAAUGUUCUCACAGCAAGCAACUUUAGUUAAAUAGGACCUCAAGAAGCUUUGACAGGGACAGCUUUGUGGCAUUCUACUUCGCAAAAAUGGAAUGUACGUUGUGAGCACAAAGCGAAACUCAUUCGUGGCGGAUGUGCGCCCGUGUGUCUUACAAAAUGAGUGAUUCAUACUGAGGAGCAGUCUGCUGAUGAGAAUGACUGCGGGAGACUGGCUAUUCACUCUUUGAAGUGGAGCUGCUGCAGAAAACUGCUGUGAUGAUCAUAGGAAUGAGAAGCCGGUGGGUGCCAUCUGGAUCCUGGGAUGCCAUUUAUUUCUGACUA